rnacentral:rRNA from 1 species
UACGGGAGGCAGCAGUGGGGAAUAUUGCACAAUGGGCACAAGCCUGAUGCAGCCAUGCCGCGUGUAUGAAGAAGGGCCUUCGGGUUGUAAAGUACUUUCAGUCGUGAGGAAGGUGUUAAGGUUAAUAACCUUAGCAAUUGACGUUAGCGACAGAAGAAGCACCGGCUAACUCCGUGCCAGCAGCCGCGGUAAUACGGAGGGUGCGAGCGUUAAUCGGAAUUACUGGGCGUAAAGGGCACGCAGGCGGUUAAUUAAGUUGGAUGUGAAAUCCCCGGGCUUAACCUGGGAAUGGCAUUCAAGACUGGUUAGCUAGAGUCUUGUAGAGGGGGUAGAAUUCCAUGUGUAGCGGUGAAAUGCGUAGAGAUGUGGAGGAAUACCGGUGGCGAAGGCGGCCCCUGGGACAAGGACUGACGCUCGAUGUGCGAAAGCGUGGGGAGCAAACAGGAUUAGAUACC